UACGUAGGGUGCGAGCGUUAAUCGGAAUUACUGGGCGUAAAGCGUGCGCAGGCGGUUGGUUAAGUCUGAUGUGAAAGCCCCCGGGCUCAACCUGGGAAUGGCAUUGGAAACUGGCCAGCUGGAGUGUGGCAGAGGGGGGUGGAAUUCCGCGUGUAGCAGUGAAAUGCGUAGAGAUGCGGAGGAACACCGAUGGCGAAGGCAGCCCCCCUGGGCCAACACUGACGCUCAGGCACGAAAGCGUGGGGAGCAAACAGG
rnacentral:rRNA from 1 species